rnacentral:rRNA from 1 species
UACGUAGGGGGCAAGCGUUGUCCGGAUUUACUGGGCGUAAAGCGCACGUAGUCGGCUUUGCAAGUCGGUUGUGAAAUCCCCGGGCUCAACCUGGGAACUGCAUCCGAGACUGCAUUGCUAGAGUAUGGGAGAGGAAAGCGGAAUUCCUGGUGUAGCGGUGAAAUGCGCAGAUAUCAGGAGGAACACCGGUGGCGAAGGCGGGUCUCUGGGCCGAAACUGACGCUGAGGAGCGAAAGCGUGGGGAGCAAACAGG